UACGGGAGGCAGCAGUGGGGAAUAUUGGACAAUGGGCGGAAGCCUGAUCCAGCCAUGCCGCGUGUGUGAAGAAGGCCUUUUGGUUGUAAAGCACUUUAAGCGAGGAGGAGGCUACUAGUACUAAUACUACUGGAUAGUGGACGUUACUCGCAGAAUAAGCACCGGCUAACUCUGUGCCAGCAGCCGCGGUAAUACAGAGGGUGCGAGCGUUAAUCGGAUUUACUGGGCGUAAAGCGUGCGUAGGCGGCUGAUUAAGUCGGAUGUGAAAUCCCUGAGCUUAACUUAGGAAUUGCAUUCGAUACUGGUCAGCUAGAGUAUGGGAGAGGAUGGUAGAAUUCCAGGUGUAGCGGUGAAAUGCGUAGAGAUCUGGAGGAAUACCGAUGGCGAAGGCAGCCAUCUGGCCUAAUACUGACGCUGAGUACGAAAGCAUGGGGAGCAAACAGGAUUAAGAAUAACC
rnacentral:rRNA from 1 species